UUCAUAAGUCAGGAGAGGACAUUGAGCCUGAUGGCAGAGGCCUGGUGACAUGUUGUUCCAGAGGUUCCGGAAUAUUUGUUUUCCUGUUGGAAGGAAACUUUGCAGAGUAGAAAAGGGAUCUGAGACUUUUGGCACUUUUUGCAAAGCCCUUUGCCAGUCAGGGAAGGUGAGAGGCUGGGCAUAGGGCUUGGACAUUUGACAACAGUGAGACAUUAUUGUCCCCAGACUCACUAGUCCAAGGGUAAAGCUGAAGAGGCUUGGGCGUGCCCCAGAAAGGCUCCUGAUGAAGCUUGGAAAAAGCUAUUCUCUGAGUAUUUCUAAGACUAGUGCCCAUGGGAAUGUUGCUGAAGGCGAGACCAAGCCAGACCCAGAUGUGACUGAACGCUGCUCAGAUGGCUGGAGCUUUGAUGCUACCACCCUGGAUGACAAUGGAACCAUGCUGUUUUUUAAAGGGGAGUUUGUGUGGAAGAGUCACAAAUGGGACCGGGAGUUAAUCUCAGAGAGAUGGAAGAAUUUCCCCAGCCCUGUGGAUGCUGCAUUCCGUCAAGGUCACAACAGCGUCUUUCUGAUCAAGGGGGACAAAGUCUGGGUAUACCCUCCUGAAAAGAAGGAGAAAGGAUACCCAAAGUUGCUCCAAGAUGAAUUUCCUGGAAUCCCAUCCCCACUGGAUGCAGCUGUGGAAUGUCACCGUGGAGAAUGUCAAGCUGAAGGCGUCCUCUUCUUCCAAGGUCAGUGACCGCGAGUGGUUCUGGGACUUGGC
rnacentral:sRNA from 1 species